GAGUAGGUGGCUGAAGUUUAAGCGAUAGAUUGUAAAUCUAUAAAUGAAAGGUAUUUUCUCUUCUCA
rnacentral:tRNA from 1 species